rnacentral:tRNA from 1 species
GGAGAGGUCGCAUAGUGGUCUAGUGCGCCGCCUUGGAAAGGCGGUAUGCCCGAAAGGGUAUCGAGGGUUCGACUCCCUCCCUCUCCG